rnacentral:rRNA from 1 species
GAGUUUGAUCGUGGCUCAGAUUGAACGCUGGCGGCAUGCUUUACACAUGCAAGUCGAACGGCAGCGCGGGGCAACCUGGCGGCGAGUGGCGAACGGGUGAGUAAUAUAUCGGAACGUACCCAAGAGUGGGGGAUAACGUAGCGAAAGUUACGCUAAUACCGCAUACGAUCUAAGGAUGAAAGUGGGGGAUCGCAAGACCUCAUGCUCCUGGAGCGGCCGAUAUCUGAUUAGCUAGUUGGUGAGGUAAAGGCUCACCAAGGCGACGAUCAGUAGCUGGUCUGAGAGGACGACCAGCCACACUGGAACUGAGACACGGUCCAGACUCCUACGGGAGGCAGCAGUGGGGAAUUUUGGACAAUGGGCGCAAGCCUGAUCCAGCAAUGCCGCGUGAGUGAAGAAGGCCUU